AUUGAACGCUGGCGGCAGGCCUAACACAUGCAAGUCGAGCGGAUGAAGGGAGCUUGCUCCUGGAUUCAGCGGCGGACGGGUGAGUAAUGCCUAGGAAUCUGCCUGGUAGUGGGGGAUAACGUCCGGAAACGGGCGCUAAUACCGCAUACGUCCUGAGGGAGAAAGUGGGGGAUCUUCGGACCUCACGCUAUCAGAUGAGCCUAGGUCGGAUUAGCUAGUUGGUGGGGUAAAGGCCUACCAAGGCGACGUUCCGUAACUGGUCUGAGAGGAUGAUCAGUCACACUGGAACUGAGACACGGUCCAGACUCCUACGGGAGGCAGCAGUGGGGAAUAUUGGACAAUGGGCGAAGGCCUGAUCCAGCCAUGCCGCGUGUGUGAAGAAGGUCUUCGGAUUGUAAAGCACUUUAAGUUGGGAGGAAGGGCAGUAAGUUAAUACCUUGCUGUUUUGACGUUACCAACAGAAUAAGCACCGGCUAACUUCGUG
rnacentral:rRNA from 1 species